AAUGAUCAAUGACAUGUUGAAUUUAUUCUGCAAAUAUUGUCAAUGACUGAUUGAAUUGAUUCUGCAAAAAUGGUCGAAGACGGGUUGAACUGAUUCUGAAAAAAUGGUUGAGGACGGGUUGCAUUGAUUUUAAAAAAAUUAUCGAGGAUGGAUUGAACUGAUUCUGUAAAAAUGGUCGAAGACAAAUUGAAUUGAUUAUAGUAAUAAAUGAUACAAACUGAUUCUGCAUAUAAUUUCAAAACUGAUUCUGCAGAAAAAAUCGAGGAUAAGUUAAGCUUAUGGAACAUAUUAAUUUUGUUGGAGUUGUAAGGGUUGUAUUAACAAUCUUAAAGCCUUAGGGGUAUGUCUAGUAUUUUAAAAUAUUGUUUCCAUGUUUUUAGGCUGGAUUUUAGUUGUUUUUAUUUUUUUUCUCUCUCAUUGAUAUAUUUAAAAACUAAUAGAGUUUAUUGAAAUAUAAUGAAAGUUUUUGUCUUUACAUAUAAAACUCUCUUUUAUUAAACCACUUUAGCUUUUUUUUUAUUAUUAUUUUUAAUUUUGAGAUAACCCAAGAAGGUUCCAUACGUUACACCAGGAGGACGUAUUUUAUAGAGUUGUCUUUUUAUGUACCUACAAAAGUAUUAAAGAAAUAAAGACUGAACAUAAUAUCAGAAAAUAAAAAAUUCUAUUGAAUCUUGUAAUUGGCUCAAAGCAGAAUAUCUAGAUAGUCAACAAACUUUGUUUUUCAACGAUCUAAUGAUAUUUUUCUUUACUUGCAGGUGAGAAGUCUUAAUUUUGAAUCUUAGGGAUGACGAAUUCGAUACCAAAUUAGACUGCUUAUUGUGUGGCUUAACCAAACUCUCAAUUUUUUUAGUGUAAAAAUAUCAAUGUACUAAAAAAAAGAAUUAUUUCAGGCGACCUAACCCUGUAAUUUUUUAACCAAAAAUAAGAGAAAGAAAAUAAAGGGAUGAUCUCUGAUGGCCAUGUGACGUGAUGAGAGAUAAAAACAAAGAUGUAUGAAACAAGCGAUAUGUGAUUAACUAGACAGUGAGUCAAUGACGGGUUUCUAAAAAAUUUCUUGCUCUAUUUGUAAUAUUUGCUAUACUUUUCACUUUCAUAACGUACGAUCCAUAGAGCUCAGCUGUGUCAAUAUUUUCUUUCCAAAAGAUGAGUUUGAUAAAAGCUAUCAAUUAAUGUUGACAAUUUGUGUGUCUAUUUAAGAUGUUAAAACGGUAAGUUUCAUAAUUUUUGAAGUUUUGAGUUAAGUGAGAGGCUUGGUCGAAUUCUGAAUCUAUUGGUAUGUAUGUAUUCCUAUUAUUCGUUAAAAAAUAGAAAAUUAUGACAAUAAAAAAUAAAAACAAACUGUUUGGGAUAAAACUU
rnacentral:lncRNA from 1 species